CGGAACGUGCCGAGUAAUGGGGGAUAACGCAGCGAAAGUUGUGCUAAUACCGCAUACGCCCUGAGGGGGAAAGUGGGGGAUCGCAAGACCUCACGUUAUUCGAGCGGCCGACGUCUGAUUAGCUAGUUGGUGGGGUAAAGGCCUACCAAGGCGACGAUCAGUAGCGGGUCUGAGAGGAUGAUCCGCCACACUGGGACUGAGACACGGCCCAGACUCCUACGGGAGGCAGCAGUGGGGAAUUUUGGACAAUGGGGGCAACCCUGAUCCAGCCAUUCCGCGUGAGUGAAGAAGGCCUUCGGGUUGUAAAGCUCUUUCAGCUGGAGUGAAACGGUGCGCUCUAACAUAGCGCGCUAAUGACGGUACCAGCAGAAGAAGCACCGGCUAACUACGUGCCAGCAGCCGCGGUAAUACGUAGGGUGCGAGCGUUAAUCGGAAUUACUGGGCGUAAAGCGUGCGCAGGCGGAUUGUUAAGCAAGAUGUGAAAUCCCCGGGCUUAACCUGGGAAUGGCAUCUUGAACUGGCAGUCUAGAGUGCGUCAGAGGGGGGUGGAAUUCCACGUGUAGCAGUGAAAUGCGUAGAGAUGUGGAGGAACACCGAUGGCGAAGGCAGCCCCCUGGGAUGACACUGACGCUCAUGUACGAAAGCGUGGGUAGCAAACAGGAUUAGAUAUCCUGGUAGUCCACGCCCUAAACGAUGUCAACUGGUUGUUGGGGGAGUGAAAUCCCUUAGUAACGAAG
rnacentral:rRNA from 1 species